UACAGAGGUCUCAAGCGUUGUUCGGAUUCAUUGGGCGUAAAGGGUGCGUAGGCGGCGCGGUAAGUCGGGGUGUGAAAUCUCGGGGCUUAACUCCGAAACUGCAUUCGAUACUGCCGUGCUUGAGGACUGGAGAGGAGACUGGAAUUUACGGUGUAGCGGUGAAAUGCGUAGAUAUCGUAAGGAAGACCAGUGGCGAAGGCGGGUCUCUGGACAGUUCCUGACGCUGAGGCACGAAGGUCAGGGGAGCAAACGGG
rnacentral:rRNA from 1 species